UGCCAUGCUUGAUAGUCAGGAU
rnacentral:siRNA from 1 species